AACGAACGCUGGCGGCAGGCCUAACACAUGCAAGUCGAACGCCCUAGCAAUAGGGAGUGGCAGACGGGUGAGUAACACGUGGGAACCUUCCCUAUAGUACGGAAUAGCCCAGGGAAACUUGGAGUAAUACCGUAUACGCCCGAGAGGGGAAAGAUUUAUCGCUAUAGGAUGGGCCCGCGUCGGAUUAGCUAGUUGGUGAGGUAAUGGCUCACCAAGGCAACGAUCCGUAGCUGGUUUGAGAGAAUGACCAGCCACACUGGGACUGAGACACGGCCCAGACUCCUACGGGAGGCAGCAGUGGGGAAUCUUGGACAAUGGGCGCAAGCCUGAUCCAGCCAUGCCGCGUGAGUGAUGAAGGCCUUAGGGUUGUAAAGCUCUUUUGGCGGGGACGAUAAUGACGGUACCCGCAGAAUAAGUCCCGGCUAACUUCGUGCCAGCAGCCGCCGCCG
rnacentral:rRNA from 1 species